rnacentral:rRNA from 1 species
GGGGAAUUUUCCGCAAUGGGCGAAAGCCUGACGGAGCAAUACCGCGUGAGGGAGGAAGGCUCUUGGGUUGUAAACCUCUUUUCUCAAGGAAGAAAAAAAUGACGGUACUUGAGGAAUAAGCAUCGGCUAACUCCGUGCCAGCAGCCGCGGUAAUACGGAGGAUGCAAGCGUUAUCCGGAAUGAUUGGGCGUAAAGCGUCCGCAGGUGGCUAUGUAAGUCUGCUGUUAAAGAGUCUGGCUCAACCAGAUAAAGGCAGUGGAAACUACAUGGCUAGAGUGCGUUCGGGGCAGAGGGAAUUCCUGGUGUAGCGGUGAAAUGCGUAGAGAUCAGGAAGAACACCGGUGGCGAAAGCGCUCUGCUAGGCCGCAACUGACACUGAGGGACGAAAGCUAGGGGAGCGAAUGGGAUUAGAUACCCCAGUAGUCCUAGCCGUAAACGAUGGAUACUAGGCGUGGCUUGUAUCGACCCGAGCUGUGCCGUAGCUAACGCGUUAAGUAUCCCGCCUGGGGAGUACGCAGGCAACUGUGAAACUCAAAGGAAUUGACGGGGGCCCGCACAAGCGGUGGAGUAUGUGGUUUAAUUCGAUGCAACGCGAAGAACCUUACCAGGACUUGACAUGUCGCGAAUUUCUGUGAAAGCAGAAAGUGCCUUCGGGAGCGCGAACACAGGUGGUGCAUGGCUGUCGUCAGCUCGUGUCGUGAGAUGUUGGGUUAAGUCCCGCAACGAGCGCAACCCUCGUUUUUAGUUGCCAGCAUUAAGUUGGGCACUCUAGAGAGACUGCCGGUGACAAACCGGAGGAAGGUGGGGAUGACGUCAAGUCAGCAUGCCCCUUACGUUCUGGGCUACACACGUACUACAAUGCUACGGACAAAGGGCAGCAAGCAUGCGAAUGCAAGCUAAUCUCAUAAACCGUGGCUCAGUUCAGAUCGCAGGCUGCAACUCGCCUGCGUGAAGGAGGAAUCGCUAGUAAUUGCAGGUCAGCAUACUGCAGUGAAUUCGUUCCCGGGCCUUGUACACACCGCCCGUCACACCAUGGAAGCUGGUAGUGCCCGAAGUCAUUACCCCAACCGCUUGCGGAGGGGGAUGCCUAAGGCAGGACUGGUGACUGGGGUGAAGUCGUAACAAGGUAGCCGUACCGGAAGGUGUGGCUGGAUCACCUCCU